AGCGAACGCUGGCGGCAGGCCUAACACAUGCAAGUCGAACGAACUCUUCGGAGUUAGUGGCGGACGGGUGAGUAACACGUGGGAACGUGCCUUUUGGUUCGGAAUAACUCAGGGAAACUUGUGCUAAUACCGAAUGUGCCCUUCGGGGGAAAGAUUUAUCGCCAUUAGAGCGGCCCGCGUCUGAUUAGCUAGUUGGUGAGGUAACGGCUAACCAAGGCGACGAUCAGUAGCUGGUCUGAGAGGAUGACCAGCCACACUGGGACUGAGACACGGCCCAGACCCCGAGGGGGGGCAGCAGGGGGGAAUUUGGCGAAAGGGGGGAAAGCCUGACGCAGCCAGGCCGGGGAAAUGAAGAAGGUUUUGGGAUUGUAAAAUUUUUUCCCCGGGGACGAUAAUGACGGGACCGGGAGAAGAAGCCCCGGCAAACUUCGU
rnacentral:rRNA from 1 species